rnacentral:rRNA from 1 species
CGAACGGGUGAGUAAUGCGUGACCAACCUGCCCCAUGCUCCAGAAUAGCUCUUGGAAACGGGUGGUAAUGCUGGAUGCUCAACUUGACGCAUGUCUUGUUGGGAAAGUGUUUAGUGGCAUGGGAUGGGGUCGCGUCCUAUCAGCUUGUAGGCGGGGUAAUGGCCCACCUAGGCUUCGACGGGUAGCCGGCCUGAGAGGGCGGACGGCCACAUUGGGACUGAGAUACGGCCCAGACUCCUACGGGAGGCAGCAGGC